CAAGCUAAUUAACAUAUCCAUCACCUCAUAAAGUUACUUUUGUGUGUGUAUGUAUGGUGAAAAUGAUCUACUCUCAGAAAAUUUCGAGUGUACAAUAAUCAUUAACUAUAGUCACUGUGUUGUCCAUUAGGUCUCCAAAACUUUCGAGCACACUCCAAAACAUCAACUUUUAUUCUGAUUAAGCCUCAAAUAUGUCUUCAUGUUCCAGUUAAUAGCUAUUUUUAGAGUAGCUAUGAAUAACGAAGAAUACUGGCAUAAAAGAUGGAAAGAAUAAAUGAAGAUAAGGCCUCUAAGGUCUUUGGACUUUCCAGGAAGUGAUAAAAGCUGCAAUUUAAAGUAUACACGAAGAAGUCAAGGAUGGCAACUCCUAUAAACAGCUGAUACUUCAAACCUGGAAUGUCUAGUGCUAAGCAGCCUGGACUCCUGCACCCAGCACACCUCUCUUUGACGUGAUAGGAGGAUGACGUGAUAGGAGGACCCGGGUCUUCUCCUCCCAUGCUGCCCUUGGCCUUUACGUUUUUCCUUUCAUCAGUAAAGGUUCUGUCUUAAUUAUUACCCUAUGACAGGAAGUUCAUCCUAAACCUGGACAGGUGAGAGAUGGCAACUCUGAAGCAACCCCCUGGGCAUGACACCACAUGAGGCCACACCCAGAACAAAUUGCAAGAACUAACGAGGUAUUUUCUACAGAAUCCCUAAGAGAACAUGUCUGUCUGGAUGUAAGUGUCUACAGUCAUAAAUACACAGCAUACGAUUGGAUAAGAUGGAAUGAAAGCCUUUCAGUGCUUCACAGUGCCCAUCACUCUCAUUGUCCUGAAGUGGUGUUGGCAGUGGGCUCAGCAGGGUGCUGUGAGGAUGGUGAGGCUACAUGCAUACGUUGCUGACCAAGUUGGCUACACAGAUGGACUAGACUCACCCUGUGAUGGUAGACAGAGCUUACCAAUGGGGUUCCAUGAAUGGACAACAGGCAAUCUGCUGUAAUAAUCUCCUCAACCAUGAUGGAAGUCAGGCAAGACCCAGGCCAUGGGAACCUUGAAAACAGUCACCUCUAGCAUCAAGUAUUUUCUACUGUUUGCCUCACUGUGCCUACAAAUGUCAUUUAUGAUACAUUUUCAAAUUUUCAUGUUUAUUAAAAUUAUUAUCAGCCUUAUCCAAUCUGAUAUUUUGAAUGAAAUCAUAUUAAAACUAUAUAUUAAUUUAAGAACUGGUAUCUUCAUAAUAGGGAGUCUUCUAUAGGUUCCUAGACAACUAAAAUACCAUGGAUUGCCACCUUAGACUUGAAAUGGAUGAUCCUUAUUCUUCUCUCAGUCAGACCAGUGAAAGGUACAGAUUCAUGGCAGCUAGUCCAGCAAGCCUCUAAUAGUCAACUUCUAAUCGUCUCCUUUAGGACAAAAAAGAAACGAUAUGCUUAGGAAGGCCACCAUGCAACUGAGUGUAUCUGAAUCAUCCUUACAUAAUAUCAUUUCUUACUAUGUGUCCUCAACAUCCUGCUCUGCAUAUAUUUCUCCACCAUCUCCAAAAUCCUCUUAGCCCAGUGCUCCUCAAACUUUAAUGUGCAUGUAAAUUAUGACCUUGUUAAAAUGCGGAUUGUAAUCCAAUCAGUCAGGGUUGGAGCCUAAGAUUCCCUGUAUUUUGAACGAGAGUCCAAGUGAUGCCAAAGCUGCCAGUCUAUGACCACACUGAGUGGUCAAGCUCUAGAUGACACCUAUAAUAAUUACAGGGAUAAGGCCCCUCUUCUCAAAUAUCAUUUUGCACAGUUCCUGGACUAGGUCAGAUACAGACCCUACUUACCACAUAUAUCUCUGUACUACAAAUAUUAUGUAAUCAGUUUUCCUAAAUCUAGGCACCAAUAUUUUAAAAUAUAUUUUCAUGGUGUAAAUAUAAAUUAAUUUUCUAUAGUAAAUACACUAAGUACCUAAUCACAUUCAUCCAUCUUUAAUGUGAGUAGCAAAAAGCAAAGGCACUAUCUUAAUGGUUUUUGAGUGAGACUUUAGCAAAUGCUAUCUUUAUGGAGAAACCUCUGGGCUGCUUUUUAGGAUGUGAGAAAAGUGGGGUAAAGGGAGGAGAACUGGAUAAACAUGGCACAGAGACAGGGAUGGGGCAAAUAUGGGGACACCUGUCUCAAAGAAGAAGCAAAUGAUAUAGAAAAUAAAUAUCUGUUCCAUCCCUGUUCCAGACAAGCCCAUGUACCUGCAAAGUAGGAAGUUGUGUAUCACAUUGCAACAAGGAAUGAUCCUGGCCCCGGUAAAGUCAACAGUAACAGUCAUCACAGGCGAAUCUGCCUAUCAGGGAUUGGAGACUCUCUAAACUCCCACCUAUCAACCCAGGAAUCAGAGCCUGAGACAGACAGAUGCUUCAAUCUUGCAUGAGGUGGUAUUCCCGCCAUGAGUCCUGGGCUUCUCCACUGGAUGGCCCUUUGUCUCCUUGGAACAGGUCAUGGGGAUGUCAUGGUCAUCCAGAACCCAAAAUACCAGGUUACUCAGUUGGAAAAGCCAGUGACCUUGAGUUGUUCUCAGAAUCUGAACCAUAAGGUCAUGUACUGGUACCAGCAGAAGCCAAGUCAGGCCCCAAAGCUGCUGUUCCACUACUAUGACAAAGAUUUUAACAAUGAAGCAGACACCCCUGAUAACUUCCAAUCCAGGAGGCCAAACACUUCUUUCUGCUUUCUUGACAUCCGCUCACCAGGCCUGGAGGAUGCAGCUGUGUACCUUUGUGCCAGCAGCAAAGACACAGAGGUGCAGUGCUGCCUCCCCUUUGUUCAUAAACCUCAUUGUUUCCCAGAUCCAGGUGCUUUCUCUAGGACUUCACCCCCGCCACCUCUCACAACAAUAGGAAGUGGGUUUGUGACUGUCAAUAUCUCAUUUGUAGACAGAGUUGAGUACAAACCAAUAAAAACCAUUGACAGUUAUGCCAAGAAUGGAAAAGUGGUUAUACAUGCCUGACAUUCAGUUGGUGGUAUUUUCCCAGAAUUACAUUUAGAACCCGUGCUAUCCUUUUCAGAAGACGAAUAGGAAUUUUUUCUUUCUUUUUUUCAUUGUUCUAAUCUAAGUCAGAGGCUUAGAAAUAUAAGAGGUGAUAUGUGAAGAAUGAUGGAGACCCAAUGUCAUAUAAACUCAAGUCUCUGGCAUUCGAUUAAUUUUUAUAGGAUUUCAUCCUCCUGGAGAAUCCAUGUUUUUAGCCCAGACCUGGAGCAACUACCUCAUUAAUGGGAGAAUGAAAGCACAGGUGUCCCAAGAUAAAAAUCUCUCAGAGGAAAAACCACAUUGGAGAGGGAAAAAAAAAGAAGACCAUACAUUAAUCUGCUCAUAUCUGGAGCUGGAGGUACUAUUGUGACGACCAAAUGGAAAUCAUAAAUAUAUAAAGAAAUGAUGCUGAAAAUAGAGUACAUUUGGAGAUGAAGAUCAUGGAGCCAUCUGUAUAGAAGACAGUAACAAUGUCAUUAAGGUGCACAAGAGCGCCAGCAAAAGUCAAUAAGAAAAACUACAGGAGGGAAGAAGAUGGAAGAUCCUGCUCCCCUUAACGAAGAUAAACAAAAUGCUGAGUGAGAAAUAUUGCAACCUCAUAAAUUGUCACAUGGAAGUAUAUAAUUACAAAUUACUUGAUAAUUAAAAUCCCUCAAUGAGAAUGUAUUCUGAGAAAAAAAGCAGAAAAUAUAGUUAUAUGGCUAUCUAAAAUUGUAAAAUUUUGCACAUUAAAUAAAGAUAAUCUAGGAAAAACAUGACAAGAUCUAUUACAAAAGAGCUUUUACAAAUUGUUUGCUUUAAAGAUAUUAAUGAUAAUAUAAUGAUGGCUAACAUUUACUAAGCACUUAAUACAUGCUAGACCUUAAGUCUUCUUCACAUAUAUUUAUAGUUCAUGUAAGUUUUACAACAACCUCAGAAAGUUAGUACUAUUGUAACCUCACUCAUUUAUCCAUGAGGAAACUGAGACACAGACAAGUAACUAGCCCUUUAUCGUGUAUCUCGUUUGUGAUGGAGCCAGGAUCAAAAUGUAGACAAUUUAUUUCCCAGGCUCAUUCUCUCUUCAGAGUUUACAUGGAUUCUAAGUCAGACCUUCGAAUAGGAAGGUAAAUGGUUAAAACUGGAAGAUUUCCACACUCUCACCAACAUUGCUCUUGCUUUUCUUUGGGUCUUGGCCAAAGGGGUGAGCCCUGGUGACUAUGCCUCACUGGUUGACUAACACUGAGUUGUACUGAGGACCAACAUAGAGUAAGAAGGUCUUUGGGAUAAACCUGGGAGGAUGAAAGGUAAAAAAUGCAGAACUUAAAUCUUGAUCCCAAGGGAUCCUUUAAAGAUGAAUGAGUCUCCCUCAGAAGGUGAGAAAUUAAACAUAAACUCUUUAACUUGUAGAGAUGUGAGGUGUCUUCCUCAAAUAGUAAACUUUGAACCAUGGUUAUAUGCAUGGUAGGGAACCUAUGAGGGUGGAACAUGGAUGAAGAAGUGACAGGCUGUCCGGGGACAGGUGCAGGCAGAAAAUCAGCUGCCUCCAAGAGUGAUGAGAGAAGCUAUAGAGCAUCCUUUAUCCAGACUAGCCCAACAUGCAGUCCAGAAAGCUGUGAGAUACGAGGAAAGGGUCACCAUAAACUGCAAGCUGACUAUGUCAGAAAUGACACGUGGAGUCCGAGAGUGGGUACGUGUGGUGGUAUCACAGAUAUACACCCACCCUCUUCCCGCCCAACCGAGAGAGAAGAGACCUACAGGUUUAGCACUUUCACCACAGGGACUAGAACCCUGGAUUUAGCUAGAGAGGCUGGCUUAGACCUUUUCAUGCUUCUUCCGUAUGAACCAUACAAUUUGGAACCAUACUAUUUAGAGAUGAUUGAUUAAUUUAUACAACCUGCAUAAAGCCUGUCUUUCCAGAGGAAGCUCAGGUUCAAUAAAAAUAGAUUUCUCUCUUGUCCUUCUCAAUCUUCCCUCCCUCCUUCUUUCCUUUCUUCCUGCCUGUCUGGCUUCCUCAUUAAGGGUAGACAUGAACUAGCCACCUGUAUAUUCUCUGAGUUAUGCUGUUAGUGCUGACCACACAUUAGUUUAACCUAGAAAAACAAACCCUGUUUUAUUUUAUCUGAGAGUCUGAGACCCCUCUUUGAUCCUUAAAAACUUGCCAAUUUCUUGCCAAGCAAACAUGUGCAGGGUUUUAGAGAGCUGUAGGUAAUAGAGACAAAAUAGAAACACCACACAGAAUUUGGAGGCAGAGCCUUUAGAGCUCUGAAGCUUGAGGACCCGCUGCUGCUCCAAGCCUGCCUUAUAGCACCAGGUUCCUCUGCUGUGAGUCCCUUUGCCUCCUGAGGGCAGUGAGUCCUGGGCAUAGAUAGCCUGUCUGCCUUGUCCACUAACACUGUAGUCUUUUUCCACACCUUCCUCUGGUAGUCCAAUAUUCACCCCCAUUUUCCUCUCCAGCCCCUGCUCUUAUACUCUAGUCCCACAGACUCUGUGGAUACCCUGAUUACAGAGAAACAGAGGUGACACUCAGAUGUGAGUGAUGAAACUUACAAUGGUGUAAACAAGACUCAGAACUUAGACUGCCUGUUGAUGUUCAUUCUUAUGUCAUUGGUUCAGCAAAUAUGUAUUUAGGAACUCCUGUGUAACAGACAUUGUUCCAGAUUCUGGAAAUAAGGUAAUAAACAAGCCAGAUAGACUUGUUUUAAACUCCUGAAAGUUAUAAACCAAAGAGAUGUACAUGAUGCGAACAAUGCCACUCUGGAUAAGAAGGAACCUGUUACCUUAACACUGGCCAGUGCAAACCCAGUCUGGCAGACAUCUGUAUCAUCUAGACUUGUGAGGAAUCCUACAGCUGUAUAGCUCUCUGCAUUUAAGGGCAAGCCUAGACAAGACAGAACCUUACUCUCAUGAAUCCAUGCCCUAAGAAAGAGAAGAAACUUCCCUCGUAGGAACAUGGAUGCAGUCUCGCAGUUUUCUCAUCAAGUAGGAAAAUUCGAACUGCUAAAACUUUGCGCCAGAAUUUAAGACAAAUAAAUUGCCUGGGCCAUGCAUUAUUUACAAUGCAUUUAACUAUUUUCCCUAAUGUAAAUCUGUUGAUGAACUACUUCUGUGGCAUAUAAACAGGACUUAUAUUUAAACGUCAGAUGUGGUGCUUUAGAAGAUAUAUUAAAAUUAUUAGAGUCUGACUUACAUUUUUAAUAGUAAUACAAAAUAUAAAGUACCACAGCUUGCUCAGAAGAAACGGGAUUUCUGAAAUCUUCCAGAAUAGCUUUCUAAAAGCCACUAUCUUAUGGUCUUUAGUGGGCUAAAAUACUUAUAAUGAUGGAUUGGAAAAAUGGAUGUUUGAGUGCAUAAGGUUCACAAGUUUAAGAAAGAACUGGUAACUCCUAGCUAUAGAUUGUCGGUUUCAGAGGAUGAGAAUGAAUGUGUCCUCAUCCUCAUUUUAAUUUUGAAAGACAAUGCAGAUAUCCCUACCAUGGAAUAGUUUAUUACAUCACCACCUACAGAGAUGAACAACACUAGAUGUUUCCAACUCUCUAAGAGGCCAAGAAGUAUUAACCCAAGGUCAGAUUCAGGUAAUUGAUCGUGACUCAUGAAUUUCAGAGAUCCCCAAUGGUUAUUUUUAAAUUUUCAGCAGUUACGUCUUUUUCUCUGGGGAGAGGGUAUUUAAAGCUUCUCACGCAGCCAUUCUGGAACUACCUCUACCCUCCUGCCCCCUGCCCCGAAAACAGUUUACAGAAAUAGGUGUCCGGACCGUGGGCUGUAGUUCACCAACUCCUGCUCUAGCCUAAUUUUGUCUCGUUACUAGAGCAUGGACAUUCUGUGGAUACUGGUGAAGCUUUUCUGGGGUUUCUCUCCAAUGCCUUUUAAAGCUUUUUCCUACACAGACACAGAGUACUGUUUAGCCCAAAAUUUAAGAUAAUUCCUCCAGACAUCUGGAGUUCUUGUGCAGCUUCCUCCUCUCUGGUGGUCUUUCCUUGAAAAUUCUAGCUGCCUCAGCCCCUGCUGAUUUUGUAACCUGUUUCCGCAACUCAAACUUUGCCAUGUUCUGUUGCUCUGUUCCCCACUCUGUGUGUGCAGAAAUUGCCCUCAUGUUUUGGUGCUUUGGCAGAAUCACAGUUCUGUGCUGCCUGCUUUCCAGUGGCUGAAUACAAUUGUUUCGUAUAUCCUGUGAAUUUGUGUUACUUGUAUACAGCAGGAUGCCAAAGGCGAUUGGAUUCUAUGAAGUGAUCACGUCACAGAGAACCUGCCGAUAGAGGUGGAGAGAGCCACACAGAGAGCCGCCUGCCUCGGCUGCCUGCUCUUCCGUUGAUUCUGCCAUGAGCCCCAUAUUCACCUACUUCACAAUCCUUUGUCUCCUGGCUGCGGGUAAGUUCCUGUUCUGCAAUCGUCAGCUCCCUGCUCUAAGCCUUUCAUCCAUGUCAUCAAACUCCCUCAUGGGCUCAGUCUCUAACUUCCGUCUGCUUUCUUUACAGGUUCUCCCGGUGAAGAAGUCACCCAGACUCCAAAACAUCUUGUCAAAGGGGAAGGAGAGAAAGCAAAAUUAUAUUGUGACCCAAUAAAAGGA